GCUGAGCGUGGUGGCGCACGCCUGUAAUCCCAGCUACUUGGGAGGGUGAGGCAGGAGACUCACUUGAACCCGGGAGGCAGAGGUUGCAGUGAGCUGAGAUCUUGCCACUGCACUCCAGCCUGGGCAACAGAGUGAGACCCUGUCUCAA
rnacentral:SRP_RNA from 1 species